GAUCUGAUCUGAGAGAGUGAAGAGUGUGUCAUUGUUCUCUACAGGUUGAGUUAUUGUGGCAUCACAGAUGAAGGUUGUGCUGCUCUGGCUUCAGCUCUGAGAUCAAACCCCUCACACCUGAGACAGCUGGUUCUGACUGGGAAUAAACUAGGAGAUUCAGUAAAUCUGCUGUCUGCUGUACUGGAAGGUCCUCACUGUAAACUGGAAAGACUGAGGUUGUUAUAUUGUGGCGUCACAGAUGAAGGUUGUGCUGCUCUGGCUUCAGCUCUGAGAUCAAACCCCUUACACCUGAGAGAACUGGAUCUGUCUGAGAAUAAACUAGGAAAAUCAGGAGUGAAGUCACUCUCUGAACUGAAGGAUGAUCCACAUUAUAAACUGGAGACAUUAUACUAUUGACUCUCAGUAUUCAGACGUCAGUACAGUUUCCUCAGGAUCAGCUUCUGGUGAAUAAACCGCUACAGAGAAUUCACAGUCACACAAUCACCAGAGACUGAAGACACAGAGACACACAGCAUCACACUGUUAUGUGUGCCAUCUUUCACUUUCUUGUUUUAUAGGUAAUGGCUUAUGAAACUGAGAGCAGAAAAUGGGCAAUUUGGAAUCAUGUUGGAUUUAUUAAAUAAUGACUAUAUUUUUAGAUUCUGUAACACCCAAUACACACUGCAAACAAUGCUAAUUCAUUAUGAAAUAUGGACAACUUUGAUCAGGGGUGUCA